rnacentral:rRNA from 1 species
UACAGAGGGUGCAAGCGUUAAUCGGAAUUACUGGGCGUAAAGCGUGCGUAGACGGUCAUGUAAGUCGGGUGUGAAAGCCCCGGGCUCAACCUGGGAAUUGCAUUCGAGACUGCAUGGCUAGGGUGCGGAAGAGGGAAGCGGAAUUUCCGGUGUAGCGGUGAAAUGCGUAGAUAUCGGAAGGAACACUAGUGGCGAAAGCGGCUUCCUGGUCCAGCACCGACGUUCAGGCGCGAAAGCGUGGGGAGCAAACAGG